GAUGAACGCUCGCUACAGGCUUAACACAUGCAAGUCGAGGGGCAGCAUGAACUUAGCUUGCUAAGUUUGAUGGCGACCGGCGCACGGGUGAGUAACACGUAUCCAACCUGCCGAUGACUCGGGGAUAGCCUUUCGAAAGAAAGAUUAAUACCCGAUGGCAUAGUUCUUCCGCAUGGUAGAACUAUUAAAGAAUUUCGGUCAUCGAUGGGGAUGCGUUCCAUUAGGUUGUUGGCGGGGUAACGGCCCACCAAGCCUUCGAUGGAUAGGGGUUCUGAGAGGAAGGUCCCCCACAUUGGAACUGAGACACGGUCCAAACUCCUACGGGAGGCAGCAGUGAGGAAUAUUGGUCAAUGGACGAGAGUCUGAACCAGCCAAGUAGCGUGAAGGAUGACUGCCCUAUGGGUUGUAAACUUCUUUUAUACGGGAAUAAAGUGAGGCACGUGUGCCUUUUUGUAUGUACCGUAUGAAUAAGGAUCGGCUAACUCCGUG
rnacentral:rRNA from 1 species